rnacentral:sRNA from 1 species
GUCAGAGCAUCCACUCCAAAGCAGAGAAUUUCUGAAAAACAAAAUAAUGUCAUCAUAUGAUGUUAGAAUUUUUUUUCAAAUGAUGGUUCCUAAUACUUCAUGUUAGAAGAACUCGAAUUUGAUGACCAGUUUGAGAAACACCGGUAUAUCCAGAUUACAAGAAAAAGCGAGUCAAAAGGAUGAUCAUGAAUAUAGCAACUUCGAGGAAACAUUUAAUCAAAGACCAAAGCUUUUUAAACAACUGAGAGUUUUUAUAAGAAAAAGGCCUCAUACAGUAGUCCCCACUUAUUCAUGGGGGAUACAUUUCAAGACCCACAGAGGAUGCCUGAAAUCACUGAUGUACCAAACCCUAACCAGGUUCUUAGGAUGAGCUACUAAAUGACAAAUGGGUGGGUAGUACAUACAGUGUAGAUACACCGGACAAAGAAAUGAUUCACAGCCCAGGCAGGACAGAGCAGAUCACACAAGAUUUCAUCACAGUACUCAGAAAACCACACCAUUUAAAAGUUAUGAAUUGUUUAUUUCUGGAAUUUUCCAUAUAAUAUUGUUGACCACAGUUGCCCAUGGAUAACUGAAACCAUGGAAAGUGGAACCGUGGAUAAGGCAGGACUCCUGUAACUAUGACAUCAAUGGUAGGAACCUGAAGCAUAAUUCUGCUGUAGUGGAUUUUUUCAAAAGAAACUCAUGAAUGAAAAAUAAUUUAUUAGAUAUAAGAAAGGAUGCAUUUGUAUCUCAAACUUUACUUAUUCUGGAAAUAAAUGAAAAGCCAACACCUAUUACAUACCCACAAAAAUGAAAAAAUAAAUAAAUGUAAAGCCGUAGUUCAGUACUGAUGGAAUCUGAGAAAAUUUAUAUGACAGCGAACCCAUACCUCUGUACUGAAUGUGGGAAAGGCUACACUUGUAUUGCAUCCCUGACCCAACAUCAGAAAACACAUAUUGGAGAGAAACCUUAUGAAUGUAAAAUAUGUGGUAAAUUGAAGGCCAGAGACAGGAAUUUGCCUAAAUCACAGAGUCUCACUUUGUCAUCCUGUCUGGAGUGCAAUGGCAUGAUCUCAGCUCACUGCAGCCUCCGUCUCCCGGGUUCAAGCAAUUCUCCUGCCUCACCCUCUCUAGUAGCUGGGAUUACAGAGCAUCAAAAUAUUAUCUUUGUUUAUGUGGCCCCAGGACAGAUGAAACUUGUACUGGUGCAAAAAUCCAUCCCAGUCAUAACCAUUAGUCAUGAUAACGGACACAAUGUCGUUGACAUACUUGAAACAGACUAUGAUAAUUAUAUUUUUUAUAACAAGAAUAUCAAGAAUGGGGAAACAUUCCUAAUGCUGGAGCUCUGUGCUCGAACACCAGAUGUGAGCUCACAACUCAAGGAGAGGUUUGUGAAAUAUUGUGAAGAACAUGGGAUUGAUAAGGAAAACAUAUUUGACUUGACCAAAGUUGAUCGCUGUCUCCAGGCCCGAGAUGGGGGAGCAGCCUAGGACUCCAGUGCUGAGUGAAUGCUUCCUCACCUGGACUCUAGUAUAUUCCCUUCCUGGUCCCCAUGUCCUCUUAUGACAAGUUCUGUGACCUGAUUUCCAUCAUAUCACACAUGAAGACGUCAUCCCUGCAUCUUUAGGAUCUUCCCUAACUGCCUAAGAAGACUCAGAAAUUCACCAAGAAUCAAAGGUUUUCUUUGAAUUUCUGACUGUCUUUGUCACAGCCAGGGGAACUCUACAUGAAUAACACCUGACUCUACAUGA